CGCGGCCCCGUGGGUUCGGGGGCCGCCGGUGCCUCCUCUCGCUGUGGUGCUGCAGCCCGCCUCGGCCGGGCCCCGCUUUGCCCGGUGCCGGAGAGCCCGCGGGAGGGAGACGGGGCGUCCCGCCCGCAAUGCGCUGCUCUGUGCGAGAGGAGCCGCGGGAAGGCCCUGAGGAGACGGGCGAGGAGCGGCACCCUGCUGCGGGACGUGGAGGUCCGGUGCCCGCCUGUGCUCCGCGUUCGCUCACUGGCAAAACUGCGCUUCGGUGUUCACAGCUCCUCAGGCUCCAGGAGCUGGAGUUCCCUGUGCUCAGAAAAGCUGAAGAAUGACACAGAUGGGGAUGAAGCUGAGCUGCGUGUCGGACAGGUACCUGCUCUCAAGUGAGAAAGGAUAUAGAUACGAACCUUCAAACACAGCUCAACAGAAGGAACUACUUUCAGAGAUACUUUCUGUCUCUCUCAUUUACUGAUUGCAAAUGGCAGGUCUGCAGUAGCAGCUAUAUUGCUUCAGCUGCUGUCGCAGUUCUCACCCUUUCCUAGCAGUAGCUAUUUCAUUUGUAUUGGUUUCAGUAUCUUUAAUUUCCAAGAUCGCUGCGUGUGAUAACAAGAGGAUACCUUGCAGUCUUGGGACAGUCAGGAUAUCUGUUGGUGGAAUUGUUUUGUUGGGUUUUUUCAUGUCCUGAAAGGCUGAUUCGGGAUGUGUUGGCCUUUAAAUAUAUUUAAAGCAAGAAAUUGCAUUUCAUCAGUAUUUCUUCUGCUCCCAUCAGAACCCCAGGUCUCACUCAGGCUCUUGCUUCCCAUAUAAGUCAUUAUAUUUUUAUUAACUAUUUUCUUGCUCAUUAAUAAAAUAUAUAUAUUUUACUUCUAAAUUAUGAGAACCACCAUCUUCUGUUAUGGGGUUGUCACUGUAGCCUUUGCUAUUCACUGCAGCCGUUUGGC
rnacentral:lncRNA from 1 species